UAAUACUUCUCACUGUCUGCUGGUGGAUCAGAAAAAAGAAGACUUCCAGUCAGUCUCCAAGAGGAGAAAUGUCAGAUACAGUGGAGCAGAUGAACGUUGACCCCAUGUAUGAAAACAUCUCAGCUCAGUCAGCAGAGCAGGAUGAUCAUCACUACAGCAGACUGCACUUCAGUGAGAACCACACAGCUGACCUCUACUCCACCAUCGAGCCACUGUACGCUCAAUAAAGAAACGUUUGUUACCAUGGUGAUUUCAACUCCAGUGAUAUUACGUUACCAUCACAGCAGAGAAACUGCAGCGUCUGGAUCUGUCUGUGGGUUACACUCGCUUCAUUGGAAUAUAAAACAUUCCACAGAAAUCAAUUGAAAUUGAAAAGCUCAAGUAGAAAUUCUCAAGCCUUUGAAUUAAAACAUAUUUGGUAAUUACGUACGUCUGUCACAAAAACCUGCAAAAAAUGACGCAACCGUUUAAAAAUUCUGCUAUGUCCAAAAUGAGUGUGCAUUUACUGAUCACCCACUUAAAGGGUGCUAUUUUUGAUAACUUUGUUAGACAUUUUAUUACUUUGUGUGAUUUGGGUGCCACUAAUGAAAACAUCAAAGCCAUUGUGUCCUCAGGUUUGUCUUCUGUUAGGUUUUUGUCUGUACCACAAAAUAACCACUAACACUGUCACCUGUCUCUGCUUUCAUUGUCAGCACUGUCAGGUUUUCGAUGAACAUAUAAUAAUAUGUAACCAUGUCACAUGUUUAACUGAGC